UACGGGGGGGGGCAAGCGUUUGUUCGGAAUUACUGGGCGUAAAGGGCUUGUAGGUGGCCAACUAAGUCAGACGUGAAAUCCCUCAGCUUAACCGGGGAACUGCGUCUGAUACUGGAUGGCUUGAGGUUGGGAGAGGGAUGCGGAAUUCCAGGUGUAGCGGUAGAAAUGCGUAGAUAUCUGGAGGAACACCGGUGGCGAAGGCGGCAUCCUGGACCAAUUCUGACGCUGAGGAGCGAAAGCCAGGGGAGCAAACGGGG
rnacentral:rRNA from 1 species